CAGGUUUUCAGCGAGCACGGCAAAGUCAUGGAAGCCCGCGUGGUUUAUGACCGUGAGACAGGCCGUUCACGUGGUUUCGGGUUUGUUAAAAUGUCCAACGAGACCGAACUCAAUGACGCCAUUGCCGCCCUUGAUGGACAGAACAUGGAUGGAAGAGCGAUCAGAGUGAAUGUAGCGGAGGAACGGAGCAGAGGCAGGCGUGGGUUUUGAGAUAUGAAGAUGAAGAUGAAGAUGAAGAUGAUGAAGCCGUUUGUGACCUGUCUCUGAAUCUUGUUUUACUUUUCUUUGGAUGAGAUUUACUGUCUUUGACAAUUUUUGUCUGAAACUCCCAACACCUUCUUCAUUUGCCAUCCAUCCUUGUCUUGUCCCCUUUUCGGGUUUGGUUAUACAAAAUCGACAUAAUCUGAACAUC